CUUUACUGUAGCUUUGUAUUGGACUUUGAACAGAUCUGUGUAGGAUAGGUGGGAGGCUUUGAAGCAGGGUCGCUAGAUCUUGUGGAGCCAACGUUGAAAUACCACCCUGGUGUGUUUGAGGUUCUAACCUAGGCCCGUGAUCCGGGUCGGGGACAGUGCAUGGUAGGCAGUUUGGCUGGGGCGGUCUCCUCCCAAAGCGUAACGGAGGAGUUCGAAGGUACGCUAGGUACGGUCGGACAUCGUGCUAAUAGUGCAAUGGCAUAAGCGUGCUUAACUGCGAGACUGACAAGUCGAGCAGAUGCGAAAGCAGGACAUAGUGAUCCGGUGGUUCUGUAUGGAAGGGCCAUCGCUCAACGGAUAAAAGGUA
rnacentral:rRNA from 1 species